GAUGAACGCUGGCGGUAUGCCUAACACAUGCAAGUCGAACGAAGUCUUAGGACUUAGUGGCGGACGGGUGAGUAACGCGUGAGAAUCUGCCUUCAGGAUGGGGACAACAGUUGGAAACGACUGCUAAUACCCAAUAUGCCUAUUUGGUGAAAUAAAUUUUGCCUGGAGAGGAGCUCGCGUCCGAUUAGUUAGUUGGUGAGGUAAGAGCUUACCAAGGCGGCGAUCGGUAGCUGGUCUGAGAGGAUGAGCAGCCACACUGGGACUGAGACACGGCCCAG
rnacentral:rRNA from 1 species